GAUGAACGCUGGCGGCGUGCCUACUACAUGCAAGUCGAGCGAACAGACGAGGAGCUUGCUCCUCUGACGUUAGCGGCGGACGGGUGAGUAACACGUGGAUAACCUACCUAUAAGACUGGGAUAACUUCGGGAAACCGGAGCUAAUACCGGAUAAUAUAUUGAACCGCAUGGUUCAAUAGUGAAAGACGGUUUUGCUGUCACUUAUAGAUGGAUCCGCGCCGCAUUAGCUAGUUGGUAAGGUAACGGCUUACCAAGGCAACGAUGCGUAGCCGACCUGAGAGGGUGAUCGGCCACCCUGGAACUGAGACACGGUCCAGACUCCUACGGGAGGCAGCAGUAGGGAAUCUUCCGCAAUGGGCGAAAGCCUGACGGAGCAACGCCGCGUGAGUGAUGAAGGUCUUCGGAUCGUAAAACUCUGUUAUUAGGGAAGAACAAAUGUGUAAGUAACUAUGCACGUCUUGACGGUACCUAAUCAGAAAGCCACGGCUAACUACGUG
rnacentral:rRNA from 1 species